rnacentral:rRNA from 2 species
GCUGGCGGCGUGCCUAAUACAUGCAAGUCGAACGAGUUCUCGUUGAUGAUCGGUGCUUGCACCGAGAUUCAACAUGGAACGAGUGGCGGACGGGUGAGUAACACGUGGGUAACCUGCCCUUAAGUGGGGGAUAACAUUUGGAAACAGAUGCUAAUACCGCAUAGAUCCAAGAACCGCAUGGUUCUUGGCUGAAAGAUGGCGUAAGCUAUCGCUUUUGGAUGGACCCGCGGCGUAUUAGCUAGUUGGUGAGGUAAUGGCUCACCAAGGCGAUGAUACGUAGCCGAACUGAGAGGUUGAUCGGCCACAUUGGGACUGAGACACGGCCCAAACUCCUACGGGAGGCAGCAGUAGGGAAUCUUCCACAAUGGACGCAAGUCUGAUGGAGCAACGCCGCGUGAGUGAAGAAGGCUUUCGGGUCGUAAAACUCUGUUGUUGGAGAAGAAUGGUCGGCAGAGUAACUGUUGUCGGCGUGACGGUAUCCAACCAGAAAGCCACGGCUAACUACGUGCCAGCAGCCGCGGUAAUACGUAGGUGGCAAGCGUUAUCCGGAUUUAUUGGGCGUAAAGCGAGCGCAGGCGGUUUUUUAAGUCUGAUGUGAAAGCCCUCGGCUUAACCGAGGAAGCGCAUCGGAAACUGGGAAACUUGAGUGCAGAAGAGGACAGUGGAACUCCAUGUGUAGCGGUGAAAUGCGUAGAUAUAUGGAAGAACACCAGUGGCGAAGGCGGCUGUCUGGUCUGUAACUGACGCUGAGGCUCGAAAGCAUGGGUAGCGAACAGGAUUAGAUACCCUGGUAGUCCAUGCCGUAAACGAUGAAUGCUAGGUGUUGGAGGGUUUCCGCCCUUCAGUGCCGCAGCUAACGCAUUAAGCAUUCCGCCUGGGGAGUACGACCGCAAGGUUGAAACUCAAAGGAAUUGACGGGGGCCCGCACAAGCGGUGGAGCAUGUGGUUUAAUUCGAAGCAACGCGAAGAACCUUACCAGGUCUUGACAUCUUUUGAUCACCUGAGAGAUCAGGUUUCCCCUUCGGGGGCAAAAUGACAGGUGGUGCAUGGUUGUCGUCAGCUCGUGUCGUGAGAUGUUGGGUUAAGUCCCGCAACGAGCGCAACCCUUAUGACUAGUUGCCAGCAUUUAGUUGGGCACUCUAGUAAGACUGCCGGUGACAAACCGGAGGAAGGUGGGGAUGACGUCAAAUCAUCAUGCCCCUUAUGACCUGGGCUACACACGUGCUACAAUGGAUGGUACAACGAGUUGCGAGACCGCGAGGUCAAGCUAAUCUCUUAAAGCCAUUCUCAGUUCGGACUGUAGGCUGCAACUCGCCUACACGAAGUCGGAAUCGCUAGUAAUCGCGGAUCAGCACGCCGCGGUGAAUACGUUCCCGGGCCUUGUACACACCGCCCGUCACACCAUGAGAGUUUGUAACACCCGAAGCCGGUGGCGUAACCCUUUUAGGGAGCGAGCCGUCUAAGGUGGGACAAAUG